GCCUCUAUCUCGGUGGCUCAGUGCUUAAACGUUAGGUUUGAGAUCAAGCGGCUUCGGGUUCGAAUCCCGGUUAGGGCA